UACGUAGGGACCGAGCGUUGUCCGGAAUCAUUGGGCGUAAAGAGCGUGUAGGCGGCCACUUAAGUCCUGCGUGAAAUCUUGCGGCUCAACCGCAAGCGGUCGUGGGAAACUGGGUGGCUAGAGUGCGGGAGAGGAGAGUGGAAUUCCUGGUGUAGCGGUGGAAUGCGCAGAUAUCAGGAGGAACACCGAUUGCGAAGGCAGCUCGCUGGAACGUUACUGACGCUGAGACGCGAAAGCGUGGGGAGCGAACAGG
rnacentral:rRNA from 1 species